AUGAACGCUGGCGGCGUGCCUAAUACAUGCAAGUCGAGCGAACAGACGAGGAGCUUGCUCCUCUGACGUUAGCGGCGGACGGGUGAGUAACACGUGGAUAACCUACCUAUAAGACUGGGAUAACUUCGGGAAACCGGAGCUAAUACCGGAUAAUAUAUUGAACCGCAUGGUUCAAUAGUGAAAGACGGUUUUGCUGUCACUUAUAGAUGGAUCCGCGCCGCAUUAGCUAGUUGGUAAGGUAACGGCUUACCAAGGCAACGAUGCGUAGCCGACCUGAGAGGGUGAUCGGCCACACUGGAACUGAGACACGGUCCAGAAUCCUACGGGAGGCAGCAGUAGGGAAUCUUCCGCAAUGGGCGAAAGCCUGACGGAGCAACGCCGCGUGAGUGAUGAAGGUCUUCGGAUCGUAAAACUCUGUUAUUAGGGAAGAACAAAUGUGUAAGUAACUAUGCACGUCUUGACGGUACCUAAUCAGAAAGCCACGGCUAACUACGUG
rnacentral:rRNA from 1 species